rnacentral:rRNA from 1 species
UACGGAGGGUGCAAGCGUUAAUCGGAAUUACUGGGCGUAAAGCGUGCGUAGGCGGUUCGUUAAGUCUGUUGUGAAAGCCCCGGGCUCAACCUGGGAAUGGCAAUGGAUACUGGCGAGCUAGAGUGUGUCAGAGGAUGGUGGAAUUCCCGGUGUAGCGGUGAAAUGCGUAGAGAUCGGGAGGAACAUCAGUGGCGGAAGGCGGCCAUCUGGGACAACACUGACGCUGAGGCACGAAAGCGUGGGGAGCAAACAG